AUGCAGUCGAUGGGUUUAGACCCAUGGCAGACGAGGUAGGAACACGUGGGUACAUACCGAGAAGUCGGGGAUAAUCUGGAGAAAUCCAGGAUAAUACUCGAUAGUCCCGUAAGGGUAAAGAUUUAUCGCUUCUUGAAUGGCCCGUGUUCUAUCAGCUUGAUGGUAAGGUAACGGCUUACCAUGGCUACGACGGAUAGGGGAGGUGAGAGCCUGACCCCCACCGACGGAACUGCGACACGGUCCAUACUCCUACGGGAGGCCGCAGUCGAGAAUCUUCCGCAAUGGACGAAAGUCUGACGGAGCGACGCCGCGUGGUGGAUGAAGUCCUUAGGGGCGUAAACACCUUUUAUGAAGGAGGAAUUUUAUUGACGUUACUUCAUGAAUAAGGGGCUCCCAAUUCUGUGCCAGCAGGAGCGGUAAUACAGAAGCCUCAAGCGUUACCCGGAUUCACUGGGCGUAAAGGGUGCGUAGGCGGUUAUAUUAGUCAGUCGUUAAAACUCUGGGCUCAACCCAGAGAUCGCGAUUGAAACGGUAUAACUAGAAGAAGUCAGAGGUAAACAGAACUCAUGGUGUAGGGGUGAAAUCCGUUGAUAUCAUGGGGAAUACCAAAUGCGAAGGCAGUUUACUGGGACUUUCUUGACGCUGAGGCACGAAAGCGUGGGUAGCGAACGGGAUUAGAUACCCCGGUAGUCCACGCCCUAAACGCUGUCUGCUAGUUUUUGGGAGUAUCGACCCUCUCAGAGACAAAGUUAACACGUUAAGCAGACCGCCUGGGUA
rnacentral:rRNA from 1 species